rnacentral:lncRNA from 1 species
UGCAGUUUGCAGAUUUUUGAUUCUUUUGCUCUCGAAACCUCCCACAAUGCACUUUUACUCAUUUUAACGCCUUCGGUAUUUCCAAAGCGUACCAACCUCGCACUUUGGUCAAUUUGACUAAAGUUCGAUAUUUGUUCACCGAAGUUUCGGUAUAUUACAUUAAACCUUCUCUUCAGCUCACAACAUCAAAGCAGCCAUCUCCAUUAACUUCUCCUUCAACACUAACCUCUGUAGAGAGAGAAGAAGAAGAAACGAAAGAAAAGAGCGAAGGAAUUAAUCCCCUGUACAUAGGGAAGUUGCUAAGGUGUUGGGAGUUAGAGAUAAGCACAAACAAUUGGUAAAAAACCCCCUCACAAAAGCUGGGGCCAGCAGUCCUAAAAUGGUCCCUACAGUUUUUCUUUUAGUGCAGAAUCUGCACUAGGCAACAGCAGCAGUAGCAAUAGCAGCAGCAGCUGCAAUCAGCAGUAGCAGCAGUAUUCAGCAGCUAUUGCACUUAAACCCCCCAAAAAAUAGGAAUUCUGCUUUUACAAAACAGCCCCUGUAGCUUUUACAAAACAGUCCCUGCAGCUUUUUUGCACAAAUCUGCACUGGUAGCACUUGUUUCCAAGGUAAUUUCGCACUUCCACUUCGUUCCGAACCCCCUUAAACUCUUCUAAACUUGUAAUUAGCUACCCCCACACGACCAAUUUAGCUUAGGGACUAACUAAUUUAUAUUUUAGCAUUACUUUGAUCAAUUUGAUCAAAGUUAGCCUUACUUUCGGAACUUCUCUUUCGAUUUCGUUUCGCGCCUGAUUUGCACCGAAACACUCAAAUACCUCCAAAAGUCAUUCCCACGCAUCCAAAAUUACUCGGGAAUAAUGCACAUCCAACUCAAACGUUUCUUUGAUCACCUAAAUUACAGUUGGCAUCGCAACCCGAAAUUUUCGGUACAUUACAUUGCCUCUACAGAGCAGAAUACCGGUACUACAUCGGGCCCGUACCGGUACUAGACCUGGUACCGGUACUGCAUCAGGCUGUU